GCCACGGUAGUGUAGCAUGGUUAGCACUAGGGACUGUGGAUCCCUUAGCCCGAGUUCAAAUCUCGGCCGUGGCC
rnacentral:tRNA from 1 species